rnacentral:rRNA from 1 species
UACGUAGGGUGCGAGCGUUGUCCGGAAUUAUUGGGCGUAAAGAGCUCGUAGGCGGUGUGUCGCGUCGGCCGUGAAAACCUGCAGCUUAACUGUGGGCUUGCAGUCGAUACGGGCAGACUAGAGUUCGGUAGGGGAGACUGGAAUUCCUGGUGUAGCGGUGAAAUGCGCAGAUAUCAGGAGGAACACCGGUGGCGAAGGCGGGUCUCUGGGCCGAAACUGACGCUGAGGAGCGAAAGCGUGGGGAGCGAACAGG